CCUACGGGGGGCUGCAGUGGGGAAUAUUGGACAAUGGGGGCAACCCUGAUCCAGCCAUGCCGCGUGUGUGAAGAAGGCCCUCGGGUUGUAAAGCACUUUCAGUGAGGAAGAACGCCUGGUGGUUAAUACCCAUCAGGAAAGACAUCACUCACAGAAGAAGCACCGGCUAACUCCGUGCCAGCAGCCGCGGUAAUACGGAGGGUGCGAGCGUUAAUCGGAAUUACUGGGCGUAAAGCGCGCGUAGGUGGCUUGAUGAGCCGGUUGUGAAAGCCCCGGGCUCAACCUGGGAACGGCAUCCGGAACUGUCAAGCUAGAGUGCAGGAGAGGAAGGUAGAAUUCCCGGUGUAGCGGUGAAAUGCGUAGAGAUCGGGAGGAAUACCAGUGGCGAAGGCGGCCUUCUGGACUGACACUGACACUGAGGUGCGAAAGCGUGGGUAGCAAACAGGAUUAGAUACCCUGGUAGUC
rnacentral:rRNA from 1 species